CCUAUCUUGCACAGUCUGCAUCCACUAGGAAUCAAUUACUUUUCUUAUAUCAUCUCUUCAUUGUUUGUAUUGGCUGCCAAGAUGUCUUGUCCCUUGCCUUGGUUGCCACUCUGUAAUUCUCUUUGUCCGUUGAACAUUGAUAUAUCUUACUAUGUGCCUGUACAAUGUCACUUACUGCUUCUAACUGCAAGUAGUAUGUCUUCUAUCUUGGUUUAUUCUCUUAUCCAUGUGUUGAUCUUGCAGUUCUUCUUGAUGAAUCCUAAUAUGUAUCUUUCCAUACUUCUUUCUUGUUAUUCGUUUUUGUCCAUUUUCUUUGUAAAGAUCCAUGUUUCAC
rnacentral:lncRNA from 1 species